UACGUAGGGGGCAAGCGUUGUUCGGAUUUACUGGGCGUAAAGCGCACGUAGGCGGAUCGAUCAGUCAGGGGUGAAAUCCCAGAGCUCAACUCUGGAACUGCCUUUGAUACUGUCGAUCUGGAGUAUGGAAGAGGUGAGUGGAAUUCCGAGUGUAGAGGUGAAAUUCGUAGAUAUUCGGAGGAACACCAGUGGCGAAGGCGGCUCACUGGUCCAUUACUGACGCUGAGGUGCGAAAGCGUGGGGAGCAAACAGG
rnacentral:rRNA from 1 species